CCCGCCUGGGGAGUACGAUCGCAAGAUUAAAACUCAAAGGAAUUGACGGGUCCCCGCACAAGCAGCGGAGCAUGCGGCUUAAUUCGACGCAACGCGAAGAACCUUACCAAGGCUUGACAUAUACAGGAAUAUGGCAGAGAUGUCAUAGCCGCAAGGUCUGUAUACAGGUGGUGCAUGGUUGUCGUCAGCUCGUGUCGUGAGAUGUUGGGUUAAGUCCCGCAACGAGCGCAACCCUCGUUCUGUGUUGCCAGCAUUUAGUUGGGGACUCACAGGAGACUCCCGGGGUCAACUCGGAGGAAGGUGGGGAUGACGUCAAAUCAUCAUGCCCCUUAUGUCUUGGGCUGCACGCAUGCUACAAUGGCUGGUACAAAGGGCUGCAAUACUGCAAAGUGGAGCGAAUCCCAAAAAGCCAGUCUCAGUUCGGAUUGGGGUCUGCAACUCGACCCCAUGAAGUCGGAGUUGCUAGUAAUCGUAGAUCAGCAACGCUACGGUGAAUACGUUCCCGGGGCUUGUACACACCGCCCGUCACAUCACGAAAGUCGGUAACACCC
rnacentral:rRNA from 1 species